rnacentral:rRNA from 1 species
CCUACGGGUGGCAGCAGUGAGGAAUAUUGGUCAAUGGACGGAAGUCUGAACCAGCCAUGCCGCGUGCAGGAAGACGGCUCUAUGAGUUGUAAACUGCUUUUGUACAAGGGUAAACCUGAAUACGUGUAUUCGGCUGAACGUACUGUACGAAUAAGGAUCGGCUAACUCCGUGCCAGCAGCCGCGGUAAUACGGAGGAUCCGAGCGUUAUCCGGAUUUAUUGGGGUUAAAGGGUGCGUAGGCGGAUUGAUAAGUUAGAGGUGAAAUGUCCGAGCUCAACUCGGGAACUGCCUCUAAAACUGUUGAGCUAGAGAGUAGAUGCGGUAGGCGGAAUGUAUGGUGUAGCGGUGAAAUGCUUAGAGAUCAUACAGAACACCGAUUGCGAAGGCAGCUUACCAAGCUAUAUCUAACGUUGAGGCACGAAAGCGUGGGGAGCAAACAGGAUUAGAUACCCCUGUAGUC